AUGAACGCUGGCGGUCUGCUUAACACAUGCAAGUCGAACGGGAACUCUUCGGAGUCUAGUGGCGGACGGGUGAGUAAACGCGUGAGGAAUCUGCCCUCAUGGAUCAGGGGACAACCCCUGGAAACGGGGCGCUAAAUACCGGAUGUGCCGAAGGGUUAAAAGAUUUAAUUAGCCAUGAAGGAGGAAGCUCGCGUCUGAUUAGCUAGUUGGUAGGGGUAAAAGGCCUCACCAAGGCGAUCGAUCAGUAGCUGGUCUGAGAGGAUGAUCCAGCCACACUGGGACUGAGACACGGCCCAGACUCCUACGGGAGGCAGCAGUGGGGAAUUUUCCGCAAUGGGCGAAAGCCUGACGGAGCAAGACCGCGUGAGGGAGGAAGGCUCUUGGGUUGUAAACCUCUUUUAUAGGGAAGAAAUUCAAUGACGGUACCUGAGCGAAUCAGCAUCGGCUAACUCCGUGCCAGCAGCCGCGGUAAUACGGAGGAGGCAAGCGUUAUCCGGAAUUAUUGGGCGUAAAAGCGUCCGUAGGUGGCACUUUUCAAGUCUGUCUGUCAAAGACUGCGGAGCUUAACCCUGGAAAGGCAGGUGGAAACUGAAAGACUAGAGUUUGGUAGGGGUAGAGGGAAUUCCCAGUGUAGCGGUGAAAUGCGUAGAUAUUGGGAAGAACACCGGUGGCGAAAGCGCUCUACUGGGCCUGAACUGACACUGAGGGACGAAAGCUAGGGGAGCGAAAGGGAUUAGAUACCCCUGUAGUACUUAGCUGUAGACGAUGGAUACUAGGUGUUGCCCGUAUCGACCCGGGCAGUGCCGUAGCUAAACGCGUUAAGUAUCCCGCCUGGGGAGUACGCUCGCAAGAGUGAAACUCAAAGGAUUGACGGGGGCCCGCACAAGCGGUGGAGUAUGUGGUUUAAUUCGAUGCAACGCGAAGAACCUUACCAGGGUUUGACAUCCCUCGAAUCCUCUUGAAAGAGAGGAGUGCCUUCGGGAGCGAGGAGACAGGUGGUGCAUGGCUGUCGUCAGCUCGUGUCGUGAGAUGUUGGGUUAAGUCCCGCAACGAGCGCAACCCUCGUUUCUAGUUGCCAUCAUUUAGUUGGGCACUCUAGAGAGACUUGCCGGUGACAAACCGGAGGAAGGUGGGGAUGACGUCAAGUCAGCAUGCCCCUUACGUCCUGGGCUACACACGUACUACAAUGCUACGGACAGAGGGCAGCAAGCUAGCGAUAGCAAGCAAAUCCCGUAAAACCGUGGCUCAGUUCAGAUUGCAGGCUGCAACUCGCCUGCAUGAAGGCGGAAUCGCUAGUAAUCGCAGGUCAGCAUACUGCGGUGAAUACGUUCCCGGGCCUUGUACACACCGCCCGUCACACCAUGGGAGUUGGCCACGCCCGAAGUCGUUUACUUCCAACCCGUAAGGGAGGAGGAUGCCGAAGGCAGGGCUGAUGAACUGGGGUG
rnacentral:rRNA from 1 species